GCACACGGAGAGAAUUAGCAUAAAGUGCUUUUUAACCAGUCGACUUUAAACAAUUAAUUAAAUCUAUGUAAUGUGGAGGUUACCCAGAGUGGAACAGCAAAAUGUGAGGACCACGAGAACACUUAGACUGUGCAUUCUGCAUUGGGAGAAAAAGAAUAAGAGAUACAACAAGAGAGGACAGACAGACGAAGUUCGUUCCACCACUUGGGUGCCAGUACAGAGAAGAGCCUUGACGCCUGUCUUCCUUGAGUCCUGCGUGGAGGAUCAAGUCAAGCGAGACUAGUGUCUUGGAGGUUGUAUGGUACAGAGUGGGGUUCUAUUAGACCUUGAAGGUAACCUGGAGCUGGUCCAUUUUUGGCUUUGUAGGCGAGCAUCAGUGUUAAACUAAAUGCGUGCAGCUACAGGAAGCCAGUGAAAAGGAUGCAGCAGUGGGGUGAUGUGGCAGUGUUUAGGUUGGUUAAAAACCAGACAGGCAGCUGCAUUUUUAAUGAGCAAGGGUUUCUAAAAAUUUAUGUUCUAUUCAUUGGACUGUUAAUAAAAUAUCACUCUCAGUGAAACUCAAAUGCAUGCUGUCCACCUGAGUGACUGUCCACAUGAAUAACUCUUAAGUAAGUACAUUUCAAAUUUAAAAAUGCAAUUCAAUAGUU